CAAGCUUGCUAAAAAGGUUGCUCUGUAGCACCUAAAGAAAGUUUUAUAAUAAAACAAGUGAGAAAUGCCCGUUUCUGGGAUAAAGAUGACAGAAGUCGUCACCGUCUUCAUAAUCCUUCUCCAACAUGAGCCAAAUUCCUUCUUUCAAAUUCAUAGUGACUAACCUUGAAAAAAAGCAGAGGUCAGACAAAUGUCUUGAAGCCAUAAGGUCAAAUAAUCAAGACAUCUUCAACCAGACUGACUAUAUAGUCAGUCUGAGUGCCACAAAUAAUUUAUCCUUUUACAAUAAAGCUCUUUACUGUGCUAUUAGGGCAGCUGCCAUUGCUGUGAACUUAACAACAUGCGUUUAUUGUGAAGCCACAGCAGCUUUACACAUUUUGAUUUACCAUAUUUUCCAGAGUAUAAGUCGCACUGGAGUGUCACACUGGCGAGAAAAAAAAGUAUGCAAGUCACACCGACGUAUAAGUCGCAUUUUUUACUUCAUGCAAGAAGAAGCAAAAUGGGUUUAAUCGCCAUAUUAUUCAUUUAUAAGGUGCAUAAGGUGUAAAGGAACACAGCUAAUGAGCUAAUUAACAUCACUAUAAGGGCACAAAAUGUGAGUAAACUGCUUCUUUCAGCCACUGAACAGACAAACAUAUGUGAGAUGAACAUACCACGCAAUGAAACGUUUCAAAACCCAGUGUACAAUUUAUAUAUUUACAACAUAGUCUUUAAGCCAUUGGAAGCUAAGACCUAAUCUCUACAGAUUUGUCAACAUGUCAUAACUUUGGGUGAA